GAUGAAGAACGCAGCGAAAUGCGAUAAGUAGUGUGAAUUGCAGAAUUCAGUGAAUUAUCGAAUCUUUGAACGCACAUUGCGGCCAUAGGUAUUCCUUUGGCCAUGCCUGUUCGAGCGUCAUUUACACCCUCAAGCCUAGCUUGGUGUUGGGCGUCUGUCCCGCCGUUCUCGCGCGCGGACUCGCCUCAAAGUCAUUGGCGGCGGUCGUGCCGGCCCCCUCGCGCAGCACAUUUGCGCUUCUCGGAGGCCCGGCGGAUCCGCGCUCCAGCAAGACCUUUCACGACUUGACCUCGGAUCAGGUAGGGAUACCCGCUGAACUUAAGCAUAGCAAUAAGCGGAGGA
rnacentral:misc_RNA from 1 species